CACGUUGAAACACCGGUUCUCACGCGAUCACCAAAGUUAAGCACCGUUAGCUUGGUCAUUACUAAAAUGGGUGACCGCUUGGGGAUAACACGUGCUGUAC